rnacentral:tRNA from 1 species
GGAGAGGUGCCGGAGUGGUCGAACGGGCCUGACUCGAAAUCAGGUGAACUCGCAAGAGUUCCGUGGGUUCGAAUCCCACCUUCUCCGCCA